rnacentral:lncRNA from 1 species
UGAUUAUCUCCAAUUUGUCCUGUCUAGAGCUUCUUUUUUGUUUUAAACCUUUACCUUCCUGGGAUCCAGUGAAUGACCUUGGUGUCUUCCAUGUUUGACCAAGCUCCACGGCACCUGCUUCUGCUGCCUUCAUGAUCACUGGAACAAAUUGUGCCUGCAGAAGCAGGAAGAAGUUUUCACGUGCUUGGUGUAGACAUCCCCCUAACUUGCCCAUAAAGUUCUUCCUCUGGAUGUGGAUAGUGUUCUUUCUCUUCAGUCCCUCAGGAUUCAACAACUCCUCUCUAAAGCAGGAUAAUAACAACAUUUACCUCCUAGGUUUGCUGAGUGUCAUGGCCCCUGGUUGACAUCCCUGAUGGAAUAGAAGAAUCUGAAGCUGGACGAUCCGUGUGCGAAUCUUACUUCCAUCUUGUGGUCCCUGUGUGACCCUAGACAAGUUGUUUGAUCUCCACCGGCCUCCGUUUCAACCUUUGCAGAAUGAGGGGGUUCCUCGAUGGCCCUCAGGGUCCCCUCCAGCUC